UCCCUCCGUCGCGCCGCCAGUCCACUGUCUUCCUCCUCCUUGGGAUCCCCUCCCGAUCCAAAACCACCAACCACGACCACCCCCGCUCCUCCUCAGUUUCCGCGCCAACCAACUAGUGCCUCCUCUAGAUCCCGCGUCCACCCAACCAGCGCAGCCACCAGACCGGAGCCCCUCGCCGAAUCAGGAGCUCCCAUGGCUGCCGCCGCCGAGCCGCCCGAGCACCUCCUCCUCUUGAACCGCCAUGGCAUCCGAGGCCUCCAUGCAAGACCACCACCGCCGCCAUGGACAGACGCCGUCCAGGGCCCUUGCCGCUGUGCCCUGCUUCUUCCUCCUCCUCGAGGAGAUGCCCUCACCUCGAGCAUCAGCGCGCCAAGGCCCGCCUUCUGAAGUCCGUUGUCGUCGGAGCUGCCCACCACCAGCAGAGAACAUCACACGCCGCCGCUAGUUCCGACCGGGCCCGAGGCCCUCCGUCCUUUCGCCGGCGUUCCCCUUCAGAUCCCGCUGCCAGAGCUUCGUCCCUGCUACUCCUCGCGGUCGUCUUCUUCAUGUGCGCCGCCAAUGCCAGGUCCAGCCUCUGCUUUGAGCAGAGGAGGAGGACGCCCGUGUCUCGCCGCCCGAGCACCGCUGCCUGCCCUCGUCCCCGACGCCGGCGAGAUCGCCGCCGCCGGAUCCACGUCUCUAGCAUGCCCGUGCUCGUGCACGCUCACCUCCACCGGCCGUCUGCAAGCAGCAGCGCCGUCACGGACAAGACCGAAUCCGCUCGAGAGCCGCCAUGGCUGCGUCCCCUUCGACCCUGCGCGCGAAUGCCUCGCUGCUGUUCGCGUUGACCCCGCAUCGAUCGAGCAGCCACGGUUACAGAGCAAGCUAUCGCUGUUUCAGUUUUUAGUUU